UAAUGUGCAUAUUUCUUUUUCUCUCCCUUUUUUAACUCCGACAGAAUCACCUAUUCAUCUUCUUCCCGGUUAUCGCAAUUCCUAAAUUGAUUUUGGUUAUGUCCAGAACUUUCAAUGCAUCGCUGCUCACACUAUCAAACGCAUGAGUUUCUUGAAAGGUAUAAUCGAUUCUCUGAGCUCAGUUCUCUCCGACAGUACUUCUUCGUACGUGUCCCAAUCAAACCCUAGCCAUCCCAAUCCUUCAACCAUGGAAGGCGUAGCUGCGACUUCCUCCUCAAACGAACGCGUCGCCUAUAAGCUUAAAGGUUAUUACGAUUUGGCUACGGAAGAGAUCGACAAGGCUGUCAGGGCCGAAGAGUGGGGUCUCGUUGACGAUGCUAUUAUUCAUUACAGGAACGCUCAGCGAAUUCUCAUUGAAGCCAGCUCCACCACCGUGCCUUCUUUGAUCAGUUUUAGUGAACAGCAGAAGGUGAAAUCUUAUCGUCAGAAAAUAUCAAAAUGGCAAAGCCAAGUAUCUGAGAGAUUACAAACAUUGAAUCAGCGAACAGGUGGAGCAUCAAAGAAAAAUUUGCAGAACACUUUAACUCAUGCACAAACUGGUGCUGUUUCAUCAGCUACAUCAAGUUCUAGAAAUGGCGUGUCACAAAGACGUCUUCGUCCUACUGGAAGCAUGCCUGUGUUAAGAAAUCAGACAGAUAAAGUUGGAAGCUCGAAACCUGCUCAAGAAUCUGGUUCCAAUUAUGAUGCGAAGUUGGUUGAAAUGAUAAACACAUCUAUUGUUGAUAGAAGUCCUUCUGUUAAAUGGGAUGAUGUUGCUGGGCUUGAGAAGGCAAAGCAAGCUUUGAUGGAAAUGGUAAUUUUUCCAACUAGAAGGAGAGACUUGUUUACUGGCCUUCGGAGGCCAGCCAAAGGUUUGCUUCUUUUUGGUCCUCCUGGCAAUGGGAAGACCAUGCUUGCUAAAGCAGUUGCAUCAGAAUCCGAGGCAACGUUUUUCAACGUUUCUGCAUCUUCCUUAACAUCGAAAUGGGUUGGGGAGGGUGAGAAGCUGGUUCGAACUCUAUUCAUGGUCGCUAUAUCCAGACAACCAUCUGUAAUUUUCAUGGAUGAAAUUGAUAGUAUCAUGUCAACAAGAGUGGCAAAUGAGAAUGAUGCAAGCAGAAGGUUAAAGUCAGAAUUUUUGAUACAGUUUGAUGGGGUGACCUCUAAUCCUGAUGAUUUGGUGAUUGUUAUUGGUGCUACUAAUAAGCCACAAGAAUUGGAUGAUGCGGUUUUAAGGCGAUUGGUCAAGAGGAUAUAUGUACCUCUACCAGAUGAAAACAUUCGAAGACUUCUUUUGAAGCACAAACUUAAGGGACAGUCAUCUUCUUUAUCUGAUGGAGACCUCGAAAGGCUUGCAAGGGACACAGAAGGAUAUUCUGGAAGUGAUCUAAAAGCCUUAUGUGAAGAAGCUGCAAUGAUGCCAAUUAGAGAGCUUGGUGCAAAUGUUCUUACCGUUCAGGCAAAUCAGGAACUGAGGUGUGAGAGAUCUUUCUAUAUAUUCAAAGAUUGAGUGGUCACCUUCCAGUGUGUGAUAUAUGUGUCAUGCCAUGGUCAUCAACUUGAAAUGGUGAGACCACUAAGGUAUGAAGACUUUCGAAAGGCAAUGACGGUUAUUAGACCCAGCUUAAAUAAAAGCAAGUGGAAAGAGCUUGAGCAUUGGAAUGAAGAAUUUGGCUCCAAUUGAGCUCUUCUGCAGUUUAUGCAAAACCUUAUUUGAUGCAAACUAGUUGUUUUGUUGAUUCGUCUUACCAUAAUGGGAAGCGAGGCAGUACUGCUGGAGAGGAUAAAAAAAUUGUAGUGCUCCCAUAAUCUGUAAAUAUGGUGCCACAUUUUGAAUGCUAAAUAUUGUAAAAGCCAUAGACGAUGACUUGGAUGUGCGUCCCAAAUGUGUUUUGCGCAUUAAUAUAUCAAUUUGCUCGUUUAAUCAUUAUCCAA